rnacentral:rRNA from 1 species
AUUGAACGCUGGCGGCAGGCCUAACACAUGCAAGUCGAACGAGUGGCGGACGGGUGAGUAAUGUCUGGGAAACUGCCCGAUGGAGGGGGAUAACUACUGGAAACGGUAGCUAAUACCGCAUACCAUCGGAUGUGCCCAGAUGGGAUUGGCUUGUAGGUGAGGGAACGGGUCACCUAGGCGACGAUCCCUAGCUGGUCUGAGAGGAUGACCAGCCACACUGGAACUGAGACACGGCCCAGACUCCUAUGGGAUGCAGCAGUGGGGAAUAUUGCACAAUGGGCUCAAGUUUGAUGCAGCCUCGCCGCGUGUAUGAAGAAGGUCUUCGGGUUGUAAAUUACUUUUAUCUGGGAGUCGUUACCCGAAGAAGAAGCCCCGGCUAACUCCGGGCCAGCCGCCGCGGUAAUUC